rnacentral:rRNA from 1 species
AUUGAACGCUGGCGGCAGGCCUAACACAUGCAAGUCGAACGGUAGCACAGAGAGCUUGCUCUCGGGUGACGAGUGGCGGACGGGUGAGUAAUGUCUGGGAAACUGCCCGAUGGAGGGGGAUAACUACUGGAAACGGUAGCUAAUACCGCAUAAUGUCGCAAGACCAAAGAGGGGGACCUUCGGGCCUCUUGCCAUCGGAUGUGCCCAGAUGGGAUUAGCUUGUAGGUGAGGUAACGGCUCACCUAGGCGACGAUCCCUAGCUGGUCUGAGAGGAUGACCAGCCACACUGGAACUGAGACACGGUCCAGACUCCUACGGGAGGCAGCAGUGGGGAAUAUUGCACAAUGGGCGCAAGCCUGAUGCAGCCAUGCCGCGUGUAUGAAGAAGGCCUUCGGGUUGUAAAGUACUUUCAGCGGGGAGGAAGGGAGUGAGGUUAAUAACCUUAUUCAUUGACGUUACCCGCAGAAGAAGCACCGGCUAACUCCGUGCCAGCAGCCGCGGUAAUACGGAGGGUGNCAGCGUUAAUCGGAAUUACUGGGCGUAAAGCGCACGCAGGCGGUCUGUCAAGUCGGAUGUGAAAUCCCCGGGCUCAACCUGGGAACUGCAUUCGAAACUGGCAGGCUGGAGUCUUGUAGAGGGGGGUAGAAUUCCAGGUGUAGCGGUGAAAUGCGUAGAGAUCUGGAGGAAUACCGGUGGCGAAGGCGGCCCCCUGGACAAAGACUGACGCUCAGGUGCGAAAGCGUGGGGAGCAAACAGGAUUAGAUACCCUGGUAGUCCACGCUGUAAACGAUGUCGACUUGGAGGUUGUUCCCUUGAGGAGUGGCUUCCGGAGCUAACGCGUUAAGUCGACCGCCUGGGGAGUACGGCCGCAAGGUUAAAACUCAAAUGAAUUGACGGGGGCCCGCACAAGCGGUGGAGCAUGUGGCUUAAUCCGAUGCAGCGCGAAGAACCUUACCUACUCUUGACAUCCAGAGAACUUAGCAGAGAUGCUUUGGUGCCUUCGGGAACUCUGAGACAGGUGCUGCAUGGCUGUCGUCAGCUCGUGUUGUGAAAUGUUGGGUUAAGUCCCGCAACGAGCGCAACCCUUAUCCUUUGUUGCCAGCGGUCCGGCCGGGAACUCAAAGGAGACUGCCAGUGAUAAACUGGAGGAAGGUGGGGAUGACGUCAAGUCAUCAUGGCCCUUACGAGUAGGGCUACACACGUGCUACAAUGGCAUAUACAAAGAGAAGCGACCUCGCGAGAGCAAGCGGACCUCAUAAAGUAUGUCGUAGUCCGGAUUGGAGUCUGCAACUCGACUCCAUGAAGUCGGAAUCGCUAGUAAUCGUGGAUCAGAAUGCCACGGUGAAUACGUUCCCGGGCCU